rnacentral:rRNA from 1 species
UAUUGGGCGUAAGAGCUCGUAGGCGGUUUGUCGCGUCUGCCGUGAAAGUCCGGGGCUCAACUCCGGAUCUGCGGUGGGUACGGGCAGACUAGAGUGAUGUAGGGGAGACUGGAAUUCCUGGUGUAGCGGUGAAAUGCGCAGAUAUCAGGAGGAACACCGAUGGCGAAGGCAGGUCUCUGGGCAUUAACUGACGCUGAGGAGCGAAAGCAUGGGGAGCGAACAGGAUUAGAUACCCUGGUAGUCCAUGCCGUAAACGUUGGGCACUAGGUGUGGGGGACAUUCCACGUUUUCCGCGCCGUAGCUAACGCAUUAAGUGCCCCGCCUGGGGAGUACGGCCGCAAGGCUAAAACUCAAAGGAAUUGACGGGGGCCCGCACAAGCGGCGGAGCAUGCGGAUUAAUUCGAUGCAACGCGAAGAACCUUACCAAGGCUUGACAUGAACCGGAAACGCCUGGAAACAGGUGCCCCACUUGUGGUCGGUUUACAGGUGGUGCAUGGUUGUCGUCAGCUCGUGUCGUGAGAUGUUGGGUUAAGUCCCGCAACGAGCGCAACCCUCGUUCUAUGUUGCCAGCACGUGAUGGUGGGGACUCAUAGGAGACUGCCGGGGUCAACUCGGAGGAAGGUGGGGACGACGUCAAAUCAUCAUGCCCCUUAUGUCUUGGGCUUCACGCAUGCUACAAUGGCCGGUACAAAGGGUUGCGAUACUGUGAGGUGGAGCUAAUCCCAAAAAGCCGGUCUCAGUUCGGAUUGGGGUCUGCAACUCGACCCCAUGAAGUCGGAGUCGCUAGUAAUCGCAGAUCAGCAACGCUGCGGUGAAUACGUUCCCGGGCCUUGUACACACCGCCCGUCAAGUCACGAAAGUUGGUAACACCCGAAGCCGGUGGCCUAACCCCUUGUGGGGGGGAGCCGUCGAAGUGGGACUGGCGAUUGGGACGAAGUCGUACAGGGUAACC